GCAGCGCGACACACAAUACUCGCCGGAAGCGGAAGCCGCGCCGAGAGGCUCGUGUCAGUGGAAGUCGGGGUGUCGCCGGGUGGCCGCGGGAGGGCCUAGCGGUGCCUGUGGAGGAAGGAGAAGGCGGGGGCCGGAGGUGAGAACCCAGGAGGAGUCAAGGGCGAGAAGGGACCCGGAGGGGCAGGUGGCUGAAAUGCCGUCGUCCAGGUGACCCGAGGAAGCCUCCGGAGAAAGAGGGCCGCGCAUGCGCGUGGUUGAGCGCUGAAGCCCAUUGCCCGCAGGGCGCCGAUGGACUCCCGGGCCGGCGGGGCUGUCCCGUCCAGGCUGCGGGCCUGGGCUCUGGCCAGGCUCGUCUGGGCCCGGGUGGGGCUGGGAGCCGCCGGGGGCGGGGCCAGGGCGGGUUGGGGACUUUGAGCUACACUUAUCCUCUGUGCAGCCAGUCCAGGGGGAAGGUGGCUAGUGGAGGCGGCGGCCAAUUGCGUGGCGGACCUGCGGGUCUCAGCUGGCACGUCACUUCCGAUUACUUGAGUCUAGCCUUUUAACAUUCAGGGAUUAAGUGAGUUCUCCGUGCCGUGGGCUUCGAAUGCUCCUCGCCCUACCCCUGCUUGGCUGGCUUUGCUGAAAUGACCUACUUCCCCCGCCGAAGCGGGAGCCCUGAAAGAGCUGGUACUGCGACUCCGCGGUUCACCUUUGUAUCUUCAGCUCCUGGCUCCGGGCCCGACAGCAGCAAGCGCGGUAAACACUGUUAAGUGGAACCCGAUUUCCUUUGCUGGAUUCUCACUCCUGGGCUCCAGUGUUAAGAGGAUGGAGAACAAACUGGCUAAAAUCCAUUGGGCCGGAUGUCUGCCUCUUGAAGUGGAUUCUUGCAGAAUGGACAGCACAUGGCUCCCUUGGUGGAUCUGAGUGUGACACAGCACUCAGUGAUGCAGGCCUGGCAGAAGCUGCAGCCACAGAAGAUGCUCACAGGGUCCUUCAGGUGCUCUAGGCAGACACUGCAGGUCAUCACUUCCAGGAGGUUCCCAAUAGUUGGCCCGUCACCAUGACUGCUGUUCAAGCUGUGAGAAUAAACAUUGGUUGAGCAUCAACUAUGUGCCAGGCACUGGUCUGAGCACUUGACAUAUAUCAACUCAACCGAUCCUCACCACAUUCCUAAAACAUCACCCAUUUCACAGGUAUGAGGUAUAGAUAUGUGAUUGAGAUGUAAGUCAGUCCUGUCUGCCUUUUCCCCUCCAAAAAUCUGUAGCAAGAGAAUUCAUCCUGAACACAACACAUGGAUCACACUCUCUGCAGUAUUUCUACUCGGCUGUGUCUGAGCCAGGUACAGGAGUCCCUGCGUUUACUGCCAGUGACUUCGUGGAUGACCAACCCUACAUCUGCUAUGACAGAGAAGAAAUGAAGGCAAAGUCUUGCAUUCAGUGAUUGAUGGAGGAGCCAAGUUACUCUGAUGAUGAGACCAAGAUCUUUACAAGUUGGAUGAAAAUUUUCCCCUUAAAUCUGAGAAACAUGCAGUGAUACUACAAUCAAACCAUGAUUCAUGGACUGAACAAACAGCACCCACAAAAUCAAGUAGAUUGGUGCCUGGGAGAAAGCAGAGGGAGGCACUGCUCACCACCUCACCCCCAUCCUCAGGGACAGGAAGCCUCUUGACAACAGUUCCCAUAGGGUCAGGUGGGACAGGCGAGUGUGCACAAGUUAUCACAUGAGAGUGAAGACUUGCCCAGUCUGGUCACAUGGGGAAUGGAGGCUGUUUGCCGUUACUCAUGAUUUCAGCAAUUCACUGGUCAUGGAUAUAAGCUUAGCAUAUAUAUUUUGGGGGCUGGAGGGGGGAACUACAAAAGUAUAAUCUAGUGUUUGUCCCCUGACAGCUUACAAUUAAUAUGGGGAGGCAGUCAUACUUCUGGGAGCAGUUUGUGGACCCUUUGAUGCACCAAGUGAUGUCAAAGACUGGGACUUCCUUAAAUGUCAAAUGAGAAGCAGAGAAAAUAGUUUACAAAAGUUCAUAGGCGAGACAUUCCAGUGGUCAGAGAGAGUUUCAUGAACGAGAUAAAUAGAACUUUGGAUAGAAACUGAAAGAGAUUUUUGAUUUGGGUCAAUGAAGAAAAUAAAUAAAUUUCAAGCAGGCAGAGAUUAAAGUUCAACAAGGUGUGGGGUGAGAUUUUCCAGCUGGGAUCUCCUGGGAGCUGAGUUCAUAGUAACUCGGGUCACAGGACAAGAGCUCGGGUGAGGAAGAGGAUCUGGGUUUCCUCAUUUUGAUCUAAGAGUGUCUCACCCCAAGGGGCUGAGUAGCACCUCCUUUCCCUGCUCCUUCUGGAGCCAAUGAGCAGACAACCUGUUGUGCCGCAAAGUCUGGGAGGGACCCCUGACUGUGGGAGGGCAGGCUGAGAAGCGGCAGGUGAGGUGGGAGGCUGGUGGGCUGCUGGACUCCCAGAGCCCAAUUCCCAGGUGCCCAGUGUAUGUGACAGCCUCUUGAUCUAAGGUCAGAUCCUCUGCUCGUCUAGGAGGAUGCCGGGAGCAGGGCACAUGAGAUCUAGAAAGUACCAGAGUGCCUGAGAAGUGGGUUUCUUUCUGUGGGACAAAUUUUCUCAGGUCCGUCUCCCUCAGGAUCUUAAAUUUCUUAUAAGAGAUUAAGUGAGAGUAAGCCAGGACCCAAAUCUGAAGGGAGUGUGUGAUGUGCAUGUGUAUGUGUCUGUCUGUCUAGAUUCACCUGUGCAUAUAAAUAUGUAUGGGUAUUUUUUUCGUCUGUGAGUGUACAUAUGUGUGUGUGUGUGUAUAAGUGUAUACGGGCAUGUGUAUGUGUAUGAGUUGUGUAUUUUUUUCAUCUGUGAGUGUGCAUGUGUGUGUGUGUAUAAGUGUAUACGGGCGUGUGUAUGCGUAUGAGUUGUGUGAGGGUGUAUGCGUAUAUAAGCACUCAUGUACGUGUGUGUUGCUCUGAGGCCUCCUCAUCCUUGGCCCCACCCUGGCCCUUCCCUCAUUUCCCCCACCCCUAGUCCACAGGUUGUAAGGGACAGAGCAGCUCUCCAUCUGCAGGCAAGUAAGAGGAGGCUCAGGGCAGUGAGUGUUGGAGAAUUGGCCCUCAUCACACUUGGAGGAAGGAAAUAGAAGCCCGAAAGCACAGCCGCACAAGGACAUGAGAGACGGAAGGGUUCACUCAUCUCCUUCUAAUCCUGCUGCCCCUGACUUUUCUUCCAACUGCCUCCCUGGUAACAUCUGCUCUCCAAGGUGAAAACAUGAGGAGAGUUCUGGUCAUAUCCCUGCUCAUGGGCACUUCCUCUGCCUGCUGCUCCCUACUGGGGCCUCCUGGAUAGAGUGAGAGAAAAACAACUAUGAUCGGAAGAGAACUUGAUGUCUAUGCUGGUGAGGAGAAAGCAGGAUGUCUGUCUUCAGGAAAAGGAAGGGCUGCCCUAGAGAAGAGGAGUGAGAGGAGUUCCUGGUGGACCUUUAGAUUGGCAGCCUCUGUUCCUUGCCAUGUGGGUCUUUCGCUUCAUCAGAGCCUGCAGGAAGAGAAGACAGUAGACAGACUGGCAAGACAUAAGUCACAAUCUUACAUGAUUCUAAUCAUGGAAGUGCCAUCACUGUGGCCACAUUCUGUUGGUGAUAAGCAAGUCACAGGUCCCUCUCACACUCAAGGGGAGGAGAUUCCACAAGCGACUGAUCACUAGGAUGUGGGGAUAUUUGGGCACUGUCUUAGAAUCUGCACAGGGUUGUUCCAGGUCAGAGAAAGCAGGAACCAGAGGUUGCAAGGCCUCUGCACUACAUGUGUUCAUGCACAGGACAGACAGUCACUGAACAAGAUCAUUGUAACUGUGAGUCCUGUGUUAGACAACGUGAUCUGCAGAGCUGAGCUGUGUUUAUCAAAGGCAGUUCUGGAUACAAGAAUUAUAGUGUCAUUGGAAAGGUUUCUCUCGAGUUUAUGUGAACCUGAGAGAGCAUCCUCUCGGAAUGUUUCCCCCUUUACUUUCAGACCUCCCACGUCCCUAGGAAAACACCAUCACUAAACUGAAUUGGUUUUUCUUCCACGUGUCAUCCUGCCAGGCAAAUCCUGGGUCCCACUGUUUCUUCCAGCUAGCUUUCAUACAGGAUCCCACAAAGUCACUUCUUCUGAUUCCACUUUGUUGGUUUCUUCCCCUUCAUCCAGGCGAUUUCUGUGAGAUUUUAUUUCUCUUGUAUUGAUUAGUCAGCUACAUUAGGAAAUGAGUGUUCUCUGACUAAACUCCCCACUAAUCUUUGGACCAAAUGGGUGAAGUUUCCUCUCCAGGUCCCAGCUCACUUCCCAACUUCCCACACAGGGACGAGACAAAAUUAGUGGGGCUCCUGGAAGGCCAUAGAUUAGCACAGUUCCUCGUCACGACGAGACAUUUAGGUCACAAAGGGAUGUACUUUAAUUGUCUUUAUGCAGUGGGUGGCACAUCUGGUGCAUAGUUGGCACUCAAUAGGUGUUUAUAGAACUCCACUAAAUUGAACUCCCUGCCAAUCACGCAAAAACUUAUGAACCUGCCAACUACUCCUUAAGCUAUGGGCCCAAAGCCCUUGUUUCUUCAGGUGGGAUGCUGACCAUCUGGGGCCUUCUCUUUCCCACUGCAUUUUUCACACGCUCCUGCUCCCAUGACAAGCAGUUGAGUUUUACACUCAGAACUCUGGUCCUUUCAAGCCUUUUUCUCCAUCCUAAUAUCUUCACUAUUUUUCCUGCAAAGGUUUUCCCUGCCCACCCCCGCUUCUUCUCCAUGUAUCUCCGUUCAUUCUCACAUUUCAACCAGAGAGAUUCUUCCUAAAUGCGGAUCUGAUUAGGGUUCUCCCUGGCUUCAGUGCCGCCAUGUGCUGCAUGUUCUCAGGUUAAAAGCCAAGGUUCUCCUCAGGCUGAGAUGGCCUUUGAGAUCUGGAGCGUGGUCCCCAUUCACUCCUGCUUUUUGUCACUGUGCUGUUCUCUAAUCUCCACCCUGAUCUGCUAACACUCCUCCACACUCGCAACGUGUUCUCUCCAUCUGAGCCUUUGUUUGUGAUGCUCUUUCUCUAAAAGGCUUCCUUUGCCCACUUACUUGGAUUAAGUCUAUUCCUUAGUCCAAGGUCCCAGGUCUCAGUCUUGACUUUGAUUCCUCCUGGAAGCUGUUUCCCAACCACUAAUUAUAACAUGUUGCAUGUGCCAGGUUAUUCAACCCCAUUGUGAAUUCCUUGUUUCUCUUACUGAGCCCAGCAGAGAGUCUGCUGUCUAGUAACUGCCUAAUAAAUGUUUGCUAAAUGAAUGUG